UAAUAAACCGGAGGAAGGUGGGGAUGACGUCAAAUCAUCAUGCCCCUUAUGACCUGGGCUACACACGUGCUACAAUGGCUGGUACAACGAGUCGCAAGUCGGUGACGGCAAGCUAAUCUCUUAAAGCCAGUCUCAGUUCGGAUUGUAGGCUGCAACUCGCCUACAUGAAGUCGGAAUCGCUAGUAAUCGCGGAUCAGCACGCCGCGGUGAAUACGUUCCCGGGCCUUGUACACACCGCCCGUCACACCACGAGAGUUUGUAACACCCGAAGUCGGUGAGGUAACCAUUUAGGAGCCAGCCGCCUAAGGUGGGAUAGAUGAUUGGGGUGAAGUCGUAACAAGGUAGCCGUAUCGGAAGGUGCGGCUGGAUCACCUCCUUUCUAAGGAA
rnacentral:rRNA from 1 species